UCUAAACUCAAUAGUUGUUUUUAAGUUUUUGUCUACAUUUUUAUACUAACCCUGCUUGUUCCUGUGAAUCAACGAGCAAUCUCUCGCUACAGCUCAGAAAGAAAAGGAGGGAUGGGUAAUGUGAAAAUCUGGACCAAUAUUCUAGUUCUGAGUAAUUAUCCUGCAAAUCCUGCCAGGUGAUAGGAAUGCAUAGGAUGUCCAUCACUUGGAGGAUUCCUUUUGGAAAAGUAAGACCAAGGGAGCUAACAAAAGCCAAGCACCAUGCACCUAAAUCCUAGCAAGCAUAACUAUAGCUUCCAUUAUCUUAAUGUGUCACAAGACAUCCUUUUCUCUCCCUUGUUGGAGGAGGACUCAGUUCCACAGUUUUGCCUUAGCAUUUGGCUAUGAUAAAGAGUCCAUACAACCCCACGCCCUGAGAUAUAUUUUUGUACCAAACUCAAUUCCAAGCUUUCAGUCAAAGCUCUAGGAAAGAAAACUGGAUCUGAAGGAUCCAGAGGCAGAUGAUGAUGAACGUUAAAAGGCACAGCACAGGUGAGUAUGGCUGAUUCCUGCCAAUUAAGCCAAGCUUCCCAUUUCAUGGAUAAAGGCCAUGCUAGUAUCCAUGGGCAUAAAUGAGGUCUAGGUAAUUCAAGGCUACUGACAACAGAGUAGACAGGGUGUACGUGGGUAAGAGUGAAUAAUUCCCACCUCCCUACCUGCCCUGUUAACAUGGGUGAAAGCCAUUUUAACACCCAUGGUGGCACUUGCCAAGGUCACCAGUACUUGGGGAUGCAAGGACAGAAGAGAGAAACAGAUGCUCUUCCUUCUCUCCCUCAGGUACUCCGGGUAUCUGCUAGAAGGAGAAGGGAAUCAGAGAUGCCUCUUCUCCUCUUUCUAGAUGGGUAGCCAUUCAUCUUCAGUCUGUACCCCAUUCAAAUGCAUCCUGAAGCCCUGGGACUCCUUUGAAAAAAAAAUGCCUUCUUUUUUCCCUCUCUCCUUCUCUGUCUUCUCUUCAUAAAUAGGUAAUUAUGUCCUCGUACUAUGGGACACUUCCCUCAGAUGCAUCCUCUAAAAUGAAAAGAGUUAAUUUCCCAAAGCUUAAAAUGGUUGGCUUUAGGAUUGGGCUCAGGGUAAGGGAACCCAGAAACUCAAUACGCUGACAAAAGGUUAAAGUUUUUUACCAGUCGGAUUUUUGGCCUCCCUCUCUCUGUGAAAACCAGUAAAAGGUGUCAGGAUUUUUCAACUCUCCUCACCCCUCCCCUUGUUUCAUUUUAACGUUUUCUAAUAAUCCAGCGUGUCUUUUCUUGCCUUCAGGCCAUCAAACUCCAAACGAUCAUGCAACGGGAGCCUCUGGCGAUGGUUCUUUUUGCCAGGGACCCUGAGAUAGGCCUCUGAGGGAGCUCUGACUGCCGUUUCUCCAAAACAGCGCCCCCUGUCAGCAGGAAACAGCUGCCUGAGCAAUUGUGGCUGAUUCGUGAAGUGAGUUCCCAUUAUCAUCCAAUUGGCCCUGAUCUCGCAUCCCAAGCCCACGGAUCAUACCACACUUUUCUUUCUGCAAAACAGUUGAGAAUUACCAGUAAUUGGGACUGUUUACAUUCAAUGCCAUCCUGACAGAAGCAGCUUUAUUAUAUUGCAGAGGGAUAAUUAAUAUAUGAUGGGGAUUAAAGAUUGCAUCACAGCAGGCCAAGGCAAGAUGUAAUAAACAUUAAUAAUUUUAGAUUUAUUUCCACUGUAGCAAGAAUGGGAAAAAAGUGUCAUCUGAAAUGCCAUUUUCAAGCAAUUGCAGUGAUUUCCUGGAACCCUACAUAACAAGUCCAGAUUCAGUGGGAAAGACUGUGAGGAUCCAUUAGCAAUGCUUACGAUGAGCAAGUCUUGUGAUGGGGUUACCCUCCUUGCAUUAGAAUUUGCAGUCUUCUCUUACGCCAUUAGCCUUUGAGAGCAAAAACUAUAUGUAUCUCAUUUUUGUAGCCCCAGUGCCAGGCACACAGUAGCUGCUCCAAUAGCAAAGGAGUCUGAGUCAGGCUGCUUGGGUUUAAUGGCUGUCUUUGUCGCUUACUAGCUGAGUGAACUCUUCAUGUUUAUGACUUAACUGUGGUUCAGUUUCAUUCUCUACAGAAAAGGCAUGAGUUCCUCAUUCAUAGGGUUAUAAUAAGGGUUAAAUAAAGUCAUGCAUAUCCAAAGCUUAGCAUACUGCCUGAGACAUAGUAAAUACUUGAGGAAUGCAGGUAUAAAUUAACAUAGGAAUGAAUAACUUUGCAAGGAAACAGACAGAAGGAUCCUAAACAGUCCUGCUGGUGUAUGCAUUUAUGAUUCAAAAAUCCUCAAUUGUUAAAAUUUCGGUCAGAAACGUAUUAUUCCAGGUUGUUGGUAAAUGUGAGGGCCCUUCUGGGUUUGGAGGUAGAACAAUAAACUGAGAGGCCAAAGGAGCUGCAAAUAAAAAUUGACUUCUCUGGGAAAAUGAUUUUCACAUUUAUACCUACCUGCCUUUUGUCCUCCCAUGCAUUUCUCCAGAUGUGGUACCAAUGUGAUACAACUGUUGUUUAUUCCUUCUUUGACAAUAGCAAGGUAGUAUGAACCUGCCAGUGAGGGCUUCAAAUAUAGCUCCAGAGACAUUCACCACUACUGCCUGCCUCCAUGGUUUCCCAUUCCCUUUCACAAAUAAAACAUGGCCUCAUGCUUCAUUCUGAGCUUGCAUUUUACAUACAUCAUUUGGAUCUUCUCUGCAAAACAAUGAAGUGGGCGUGGUAAUCUUCCUUUACAAAUAGAGAAACUGAGGCCUAAGAUGAGGAGCAAUUUCCCCGUAAAAAUCCUUUAUUGUCAAGGUCCAAAUGGCUGAUGAUUCAUGCCAUAGACAUCCCAAACCAGCUGGUAGGCAGAGCUCUGGGCAUUCCAAAUGGAAACGUGGAACAGACACAGAUCACCUGGCCACACAGACCUCAGCUCUAAAGACAGACAACUACUUACCUGUUAAAGUUUCCUGUGCACUAAUUUUUAAAAUCUAGAGAUAGAUAUUAAGUAGGUUAAGUGACAUCUUAAAUUAGCCCAUGGACAUUUGAGAACAGAAUCAUUUCUAGAAUCUUGAUUCUGAGAUUCACUGUUGGGCUUAAGUCACUGCUUCUGUGAUGGUUGGAUUUGGGUGUGAACUUGACUGCAUUAAGGGAUACUUAUCUGGGAAAGCAUUAUUUACUCUCCAUGCUUCAGUAGAUACUGAGCCCUUCCCUCUUCUGCCGAAAGGGAAACCCAGGUGAUUUGGCGUUUGAUUAGAAAUAAUUGGGCUGCCCCAGGUGUGUCGGUGAGGGUGCUUCUGAGGGAAACUGGGACUAAAUGAAGAAGAUCUGCCCUCCAUAUGAGCAGGCACGAUCCAACCAGCUGGGGGCCCCAAAUAGAACAAAAAGGCAGAUAAAGGGCAAAGUCUCCCUGGAGAAGAGCCUGACCUGUAGACAGACAUCAGAACUCCAGGUUCUCCAGCCUUUGGGCUUCAGGACUCACACCAAGGCGCCACCGGGCUCUCUGACCUUCAGCUUUGGACUGAGAAUUACACCAUAGAAUGCCAUGGUUCUGAAGCCUUCAAACUCAGACUGAGCCACGCUACAGGCUUUCCAGGUUGUCCAGCAUGCAGAAGGUCUGUUGUGGGACUUCUCAGCCUCCAUAAGCAAGUAAGACAAUUACCUCUAAUAAAUCCUUUUUCAUAUAUCUCUCU